GAGACAGCGCUUCGGUCACCCCCUUCCUUCCCUUCCCACGCGAGAUUUCUCCACAGCGCGGGCCGCCGCAGCCCGCCCUCAGGGGACGACUCCCACCCCACCCCCGCCGCCCGCCUCGCGCCGAGGCCCCUCGGACCCAGCGGCCGCCCCUCGGCCGAGGAGGAGGCGGCGGCGCGCAGGCCCGCGGCCCGCCGGGAGCUCCCCUGGGCGGCGGGAGGGAGCUGCCCCCCUUACCUUGGAGCAGCCCUCAUAUAUGUGAGCGAGCUUGUUGCACAGCCGUGAGGUUGAACUGGAGCGACUGCGGGGGCACAGUGCAGUCCAGGAGGGACCCGCCUGCUGCUGGCGCUGGAACCACACCUCGCACAGCUGCCACAGUGCACACGCACUGUACGUCCUUCCCUGAUUGCAGCUGGUGUCAUCGUGCAGUGCAAACCUUCCCUAACCAAAGCCAAAGGGAGAGAGGGAAGAGAACACAACCUCAAAAAUGGUAAGCUAUGUCCCAAAAGAGAUGGAGGUGGUAUCUUAAAAUCACUGUGAGUAGUAAGAACUCUCACUUGACCCCAAAAUGUAACUGGAAGGAGUCAGAGGAUGGACCAACUUUUCUCACUUUACGAAUGAUGUAUGAAUGAAGAGGCACUAACCAGAUGGUUUCUCAAGAAAACAUUAAAUAGAUAACUACCUUGCGAAUGAAUGAGAGAAAAACAGGAUGAGCCCACCAUCGUCCUUGAGAUAAGGAAGGAACUACUGAGCCACCAAGAUAAAGGAGCUGCAAGUUAGCAACAAACUGUAUCCAACAAGGCCUGAAGGACGAGAUGUGUGUAACUACAGAACUGAGUCUGUGCAAAAGCAAGGGUCAACUAGCAAACACAGUGAAGAAGACUACGAGCCUUCAUCAGAACAGCCCUGCCCACGACCACCAAGAGACAUUGCGCAGGC